CCCUUUUAUCUACAGAACAAAUACAGCACGGGCAGUGGCAGUGGCAGCUUCUAAACUCUGACUCACCGAUGGCCCUCAGCCCUGAGCCUGAGAGAUCACUUCUGGGGUUGGAGGG
rnacentral:sRNA from 1 species